UGAGGCCUGUGAUGAUUGAAAUAUGUGCCUACAUUGUCUGACUGCAUAUAUUGAAGGAGAACAUUGAAAUAAUCUGAGGCCUCA
rnacentral:snoRNA from 1 species